ACUACAAGUGAAAAACUUAAAACUCAAAGGACUUGACGGUGUCCCAUAUCGACCUAGAGGAGCCUGUCCUAUAAUCGAUACUCCCCGCUCCACCCAACCCCAACUUGCAUACGUCAGCCUAUAUACCGCCGUCGAUCAGCCUACCCUAUGAAAGUCCAACAGUAGACAUAAUAGCCCUACCGCUAAUACGUCAGGUCAAGGUGUAGCAAAUGUUGUGGAAGAGAUUGGCUACAUUUUUUAUUAUAAAAAAUACGAAAUAUACCAUGAAACAGUAUAUGAAGGUGAAUUUAGUAGUAAAAUAAACAAGAGUGUUUAUUUUAACAACGCUCUGGGACGCGUACACACCGCC
rnacentral:rRNA from 1 species